UAUUAUAAAACAUCCUAGAUUAACGCAGUGGAUUAUGUCUAGAUAAGAUCGUGGUUCCUUGAGAAAAGGAUCAAAUUUUCACUUACUUGGUGUAUCAUAUAAGUAGCAAGCAGCGGCAAUCAUUUGGUUUUUCUUCCUUCAGCCGUCCACUUAUGCACUUGCUAUCCAGGGGGGUGAAAUUAAAAACUGUCCAACCUCUCCCAAAUGGUGAGGGAGUUUUAUUUGGAUCAAGGGCAAACAGUGUAUUCCAGAAAAGAAGGUGUCUGUGCAAGAGUUUCCGGACAUUCUGCAUUAAAAGCACGUGGGAUGGCAUGUGUGAUUAGAUCAACUGCCUUCUGACUGGCAUUUACUUCCAGUCACCAACUAACAGUGUCACUCUUAUUAUUCAGUAUUGGACAACACUUAUAUAUCCAAGAACACAGAGAAAGGAUAUCCCAGCACCUUUAAAAAAACAAAACCUAGUGAAACUGAGAAGAGAGAGCGAGAGAAUGAUUUCUAUAUAGCAAUUCUGGAUCCAUCCGUACUAUCUGUAGCAUUGGUUUCAAUCCUCUUUUGCUUUGCUUUGCUUAUUGAUAUCCAAUGAGUUCUAAGGUUCCAUUCAGUCUGUCCUCAGGCGUGCAUACUUUCAAAUGCAGCAUGUUCACAUGAUAUUCUUUUUGCUUGUUUAAUUUAUCUGUGACCAUUUUUUCUCCUUUCACUGACACUGCAAAAACUGUAGUGUCAGUGGUACUGCUCUGUUCAAAGUGCAGGCAGAAGGUGAUGAAGUCAAUUGCAACAAUCGAAGGGAUAACUUCUAUAGUCCUUGACCCCUCAAAGAAUACGGUGACAGUAAUCGGGGAAGCCGAUCCAGUGAGGAUCAUCAAGCAGGUCCGAAAAUUCAGAAAAACUGCCACUGUGGUCAGUGUAGGUCCCGCCAAAGAGGAGAAAAAGGAUGAGAAGAAAGAUUCAGUUGUAAAAGAAUCAGUUGUUACUUGUGUUCCAAAGACAUGUCAGAGAUGUGAUUUAUGGUAUGUGGUUGCUGAUGAUUAUUACAAUCGUUGUACCAUUAUGUAACUAAGCAACUCACAUUUCAAGAAUCCUUUCAUUAUCAUUUCAUGCUGCAAGAUCUGCUAGCUGUUAUUAUGGGGCAAAAAUAAUGAAAACCAUCUGAUCUAAUGAUUCGUCCCCCCAACAAAAGUAAAAGCAAGAAGCCUCAAGUUGUGUAAAUUUUAAACAACUUACUGAAAUAUUCAUUGAAAUCGA